GGAAAGUGUGAGGAAAGGUUUGAAGGAAGCAGAUAGGUCUGAGGAUGUUUUUUUUAUUUUUUUUUGUUUUUAAAUUUUCAU
rnacentral:ribozyme from 1 species